UUCUUCUUCGGUGGGGUGAAACCGGAAGCCCGGCAACUGCAUAUUAUCGCCCAUAUUAAUAUAUAUUCUGCCUUCCAUACAGGCACCACAA